CGUAACGGCACGUAAACACACUCACACGGCGCAGAAAAGGAAUCUUGGUAUAAGUACCGAAACCUAUGGUGAGCUGCGCGUGCGCAGUUGUCUGUCCAGAGUCCGGAAAUGAAGACUCGAGGAAUGGCAGGUCUCUAAUUCACCACUGCUGCUCCAGAGGCAAGACCAGGAUCAUCUAGCUGAGCUGAAGACAACCUAGUGGGGAACAUCAAAGCCGGCAAUUUACGGAUCACUGCUGGAGGACAUCUUGUGGGUGUUUUUGACGCUGCAAUCGGGAAUGCAGGAAAUGAAGAAGAAGAAGAAGAAGAAGAAGAUGACAACAACAACUUUAUUUACAGUCAGUGACCAAAUAUGGCAGGAAAUGAGAUCACACUUCCUCUGCCCAUCACCAUGGGACCACUCACAUAUUUCACAUAAAAAAACAACACUUGCAUUUGAUUGGUCUGCAUCAUAACAUUAAUGACAGCCAAAUAAGAACCAUCUUUAAAAAGCGAAGGAGGAUGGAACUAUCUUGCUUUCGGCCUUCUGCCUGCAGUCUAUGUAUUGUGUACAUUGGCACAAAUGAGGCCGUUUUUUGCAGAUAAAACACCUUCUUGUUAUUGUCUUUUUUAUUAUUUAACAUGAUGAGCGAUUGCGUUUGAGGUUGGCGCAGCUGGCAAAAGUAUAUGAGAGUGAGCACAGGUGGUGCUGAAGCG